rnacentral:rRNA from 1 species
CCUACGGGAGGCAGCAGUGAGGAAUAUUGGUCAAUGGACGAGAGUCUGAACCAGCCAAGUAGCGUGAAGGAUGACUGCCCUAUGGGUUGUAAACUUCUUUUAUAUGGGAAUAAAACGUUCCACGUGUGGGAUUUUGUAUGUACCAUAUGAAUAAGGCUCGGCUAACUCCGUGCCAGCAGCCGCGGUAAUACGGAGGAUCCGAGCGUUAUCCGGAUUUAUUGGGUUUAAAGGGAGCGUAGGUGGAUUGUUAAGUCAGUUGUGAAAGUUUGCGGCUCAACCGUAAAAUUGCAGUUGAAACUGGCAGUCUUGAGUACAGUAGAGGUGGGCGGAAUUCGUGGUGUAGCGGUGAAAUGCUUAGAUAUCACGAAGAACUCCGAUUGCGAAGGCAGUUCACUGGACUGCAACUGACACUGAGGCUCGAAAGUGUGGGUAUCAAACAGGAUUAGAUACCCCAGUAGUC